rnacentral:misc_RNA from 1 species
GGACACACAGCAAUACUCUAUCACAGACUUCAACUUGACUGGUUCCCUACGUUAGUAUGGCCUCGUGAUCUUUGCUAUGUACGUUAUUGGCGUCGAAAUGAUGAUGGAAGUUAUGUUGUGUUAUUUCGUUCCAGGGAGCAUGAGAAUUGUGGUCCACUACCUGGAUAUGUUCGAGCUCAUAUUGAGAGUGGUGGAUUCAAUAUUUCCCCACUCAAACCUAUUAACGGGAGGCCCAGAACACAAGUGCAACAUCUU